AAGUGAGCAGCAAAGCCUCCUCCCAGGCCCGAGUCUGCUGAAUCAAAGGCUUUCUCCAUCAGCAAGUUGCAGAGAACUUUGUUAGUCGUUGGUUUUAUUCAUGCUCACACCACUGGUCCUGAUUUACAGAAGGGUACCUAGAUCCCACAAAUGCUUGUGAAUAAUUUUAAGUCUCUGAGAAGAGUUCUGCCUAAAGUCAGAUACUAUUGGAAUGGUACUUGCUCAGUCAUGCAAUAAGAUUCAAUGAAAUGAGUAUGAAAAUAUUCCCUGCUGUGAGUGAACUGUAAGAACCAACUUUUCCCACUUAUCAAUAAAUCUUGGCUGCUGAAGAACAGGCCAAGCUCCAAGGAUGCACUCCAACUCCUUCCUUUAGCAGGAACCCCAUCUGUUCUACUGCUAGACCUGUUGAACAGACAUCACUGGAGCCUCAAGAGAGAAAGCUGUUCUUAUACAAACUGCACAGGAAGAACAUACAUAAAAUAAACAACACCACAAAAAAACCUGAAAGAGCAAUCAAAACACAGCAAUCAAGAGAUGAAAAAAACCAAAAUAGCCAAAAAAAAAAUCAAUAUAACUUGAUUCUUAAGACUGAAAUUGCAUUUGUGACCUUAGAAGCUUGCAGAACCCCCAACAGCAGCAUCACCUCUACCCAGACUGCCUCACACCUAAGAAAGGACCAAGCACUACACAGAAAGGCAGCUGCAGUUUUUACCUGA
rnacentral:lncRNA from 1 species